AGGACCCUCCGAGCCAGGUGUGGGAUAUAAUCUCGUGGUGCGCCGUUUUUUAAGCCAGUCGGAAAAGCGCAGUAUUCGGGUGGGAGUGACCCGAUUUUCCAGGUGAAUCCGUCACCCCUUUCUUUGACUCGGAAAGGGAACUCCCUGACCCCUUGCGCUUCCCAAGUGAGGCAAUGCCUCGCCCUGCUUCGGCUCGCGCACGGUGCGCGCACCCACUGACCUGCGCCCACUGUCUGGCACUCCCUAGUGAGAUGAACCCGGUACCUCAGAUGGAAAUGCAGAAAUCACCCGUCUUCUGCGUCGCUCACGCUGGGAGCUGUAGACCAGAGCUGUUCCUAUUCGGCCAUCUUGGCUCCUCCACAGAGCGAUGACAAAGCUGAGGCAC
rnacentral:lncRNA from 10 species